rnacentral:rRNA from 1 species
UGGGCUCGAACGGCUUAAGACCGCCGUAGAAAUACGGUCUUUCCGCAAGGAACUUGAGUCGAGGUGCUGCAUGGCUGUCGUCAGCUCGUGUCGUGAGAUGUUGGGUUAAGUCCCGCAACGAGCGCAACCCUUGCCCUGUUUUGCCAUCAUUAAGUUGGGAACUAUCAGGGGACCGCCAGCGAUAAGUUGGAGGAAGGUGGGGAUGACGUCAAGUCAUCAUGGCCUUUAUGUCCAGGGCUACACACGUGCUACAAUGGACGGUACAAUGCGCUGCCAACCCGCGAGGGGAGCAAAUCGCAAAAACCGUUACUCAGUUCGGUAGUCGCAGGCUGCAACUCGCCUGCGUGAAGCUGGAAUCGCUAGUAAUGGCGUAUCAGAAUGACGCC